CUAUACAUGACUCUGCGCAUAUCAAUAAGCGGAGGAAAAGAAACUAACAAGGAUUCCCUAGUAACGGCGAGUGAAGCGGGAAGAGCUCAAAUUUGAAAUCUUAAAGGUUUUCCCUUGACGAAUUGUAGUUUAAAGAAGUGUUUUCUGUUGAAGUUUUGGUAAAAGUUCUUUGGAAUAGGACAUCAUAGAGGGUGAGAAUCCCGUAUUUGACCAUUACUUUCAGCUUUGUGAUACACUUUCAAAGAGUCGGAUUGUUUGGGAAUGCAGUCCAAAAUGGGUGGUAAAUUUCAUCUAAAGCUAAAUAUUGGCGAGAGGCCGAUAGCGAACAAGUACCGUGAGGGAAAGAUGAAAAGAACUUUGAAAAGAGAGUUAAACAGUACGUGAAAUUGUCAAAAGGGAAGCGUUUGACACCAGUGUUGUUUUUCUGAAAAUCAAUUAAAGAACUGUUUAUGCUAAGUUGUUUAGACUUUAUCAGCUAACUGUUUAGUUUUGAGCUUUUCUUUAAUGCACUUUUCAGUUAACAAGUCAACAUCAAUUUCUUUUGCUGUAAAAAAGCUUGAGGAAGGUGGCUUGAGAUUCGUCUUAAGUGUUUAUAGCCUCUUGCCUAUGCAGUCGGAGAGAUUGAGGUUUGCAGCGUAGAUCCUUCGGGGCUAAAUGCAUUUGUGCUAAGUUAUAGCAUUUUAUAGACAACUUGUUGACUAUGAUUUGUCUUGUAGCUUACUCGCUUAUGUUAUUUUACCUACGCUUAGGAUGUUGACAGCAGUAUAGACUGU
rnacentral:rRNA from 1 species